UUAUUCUCUCUCAUUUUGAUUUAAUAUUCUUUCUUUUCUUUUGUUAUUUUUUUAAAAUUAGACUACCACGUGUCAAAUCCUUAUUGGAUCUAGGUUCAAAUUAGGGAGGGAUCUGAAGGAGAAUUGCGAUCCAAAAUGUAGCGGAAAUUAAAGUUUUCUCCUUUUAGUGAUCCUUACGAAUGGGCAUGAUCAAUGAUAGAAAU
rnacentral:lncRNA from 1 species